rnacentral:rRNA from 1 species
AAUAGAUACCCUGGUAGUCCACGCCGUAAACGAUGUCGACUUGGAGGUUGUGCCCUUGAGGCGUGGCUUCCGGAGCUAACGCGUUAAGUCGACCGCCUGGGGAGUACGGCCGCAAGGUUAAAACUCAAAUGAAUUGACGGGGGCCCGCACAAGCGGUGGAGCAUGUGGUUUAAUUCGAUGCAACGCGAAGAACCUUACCUACUCUUGACAUCCACGGAAUUUAGCAGAGAUGCUUUAGUGCCUUCGGGAACCGUGAGACAGGUGCUGCAUGGCUGUCGUCAGCUCGUGUUGUGAAAUGUUGGGUUAAGUCCCGCAACGAGCGCAACCCUUAUCCUUUGUUGCCAGCGGUUAGGCCGGGAACUCAAAGGGAGACUGCCAGUGAUAAACUGGAGGAAGGUGGGGAUGACGUCAAGUCAUCAUGGCCCUUACGAGUAGGGCUACACACGUGCUACAAUGGCAUAUACAAAGAGAAGCGACCUCGCGAGAGCAAGCGGACCUCAUAAAGGUAAUGUCGUAGUCCGGAUUGGAGUCUGCUAACG